GGCGGCGUGCCUAACACAUGCAAGUCGAACGAGAAAGCUUGGGUGUAGCAAUACAUCNGGGUGAGUAAAGCGGCGAACGGGUGAGUAACACGUAGCUAACCUGCCCUUCAGUGGGGGAUAACCUGGGGAAACUCGGGCUAAUACCGCAGAUACAAUCCGAUUUCAAAAGGAGUUGGAUUGAAAGGCCCGCAAGGGUCGCUGAGGGAGGGGGCUGCGGCCGAUUAGCUCUUGUUGGCGGGGUAAUGGCCCACCAAAGCAAUGAUCGGUAGCCGGCCUGAGAGGGCGCACGGCCACACUGGCACUGAAACACGGGCCAGACUCCUACGGGAGGCAGCAGUGGGGAAUUUUGCACAAUGCCCGAAAGGGUGAUGCAGCAACGCCGCGUGAGGGAUGAAGGCCUUCGGGUCGUAAACCUCUUUCGAUCGGGAAAAAUGGGCGGGUGAAUAAUCCGUUCUGAUGGUACCGGAAGAAGAAGCCCCGGCUAACUACGUGCCAGCAGCCGCGGUAAUAC
rnacentral:rRNA from 1 species